CUGGCAUAUAGAAGUUUUGCGAGUUUUAAGAAUUUCUAUUAUAGAGUUUGAGGAAAGUUCAGUUUGUCAAGAUUUGAUUCAAUUGUCGGUGUAGCCGACUCUCGCAAAGUUCUAUUUUAAAAGUCGCGUGGCCCUCUUUUUUGGUACGGAUUGUAAUACUCGCAAUCGACCGGAGGCGAC